GGAAGAAUGGCAGAGUUGGUCUAUUGCACUAGUCUUGAAAACUAGCGGUCGCGAAAGUGACCCGUAGGUUCGAAUCCUACUUCUUCCG
rnacentral:tRNA from 1 species